UAUUUGACCUCUUCCUCUCUUCCUCAACUUUCAAUAAGUUAUCCAAAGAUCACUACUUUUCAUCUUUCUCUAUGAUCUUUGAUGGAGAUCUAAAUCACCUCUUCAUCCUCAUCUCCACCGUCACCACGGUCCACAUUCACAAUAGCAGUUAUAUCAACCUUGUCACUAGAAUAAAAAAACCACUAUUUAUAAGAGUUAAACUGCUUUUAUGGAGGAGAGAAACCUCAGAAAGCGCUUCAAUGGAGAAAUCAUCAUUUGUUUGAUGGAUUGGAGAAGAAACAGAAGAAAGGUAGAGGAAGAACGAGAGACAAAAGAGGUGUUCGAAGAGAAAAUCAGGCUCACAAAUGUAAUUGGCACGUGAUGUUACAGUUCAUAAAGGGCCAAGGCUUUGGAAGGAAGGGGUUUUGCCACUCUUCCCUUUUUAACAAGUCUUUUGUUGGCAAGGAGCUUGUCAAAGAUGUUGUGUUUCCCGUUGUUGUUAAUGUCAAUAGCCAUGGUAUUGUGACUGAUUGCAGAAGAUUUCAAGUGUAGAGAACUAGAGAAGUAAAUUACCAAGUCACUCUUAAUCCAACACCACCCCUGUUUUUCCCAUACAUCAUCUUGGUCAAGAUGCUUAAAAAGGUGUGAUAAAAUUAUAGACGGGGCAACAAAUUGCUUGGAGAGGAUUAUAAGACGCAAGGCCAUGGUUUCCAACUUUCAACAGGCUGCUUUCUGGUGUUUUGACAGUAGCUCCCUUCAUAUUAUCAUCUGUACACUAAUGAAUAUUGCUUUGAUAGAAUUUUCUUUCGAUUUACAAGAUAUUUCACCUUUUAAAAUAGAUUUUGACAAUGUGGCAUUCAUUAGUAAGCAUAAUUCAUAUUGUAUUGGAGUUUCAUUCUGUAGUAUUUUAUAAGAACUUAAGUUACACAAUUAUAUACAAGGUUAUGGAAACAGUGCACACUUAUAUCAUUUUUAA